rnacentral:rRNA from 1 species
ACGCUCGACACCUACGGGGGGCAGCAGUGAGGAAUAUUGCACAAUGGGGGAAACCCUGAUGCAGCGACGCCGCGUGGAGGAAGAAGGUCUUCGGAUUGUAAACUCCUGUUGUUGGGGAAAAGAGGAUGGUACCCAACAAGGAAGUGACGGCUAACUACGUGCCAGCAGCCGCGGUAAUCUGAGGCGGGCGUGGCAAGGC